rnacentral:lncRNA from 1 species
GUUCUGCUCUCUCAAGAUUUGCCUUUCCAGAGCUGUGUUGUCCUGUGAUCUCAGCAGCAACCACGGUCCCGGUCCUGUACCUCAACAUGUUUAAGAUCUGCCAGUCAGGAAGCGGGUAGGAGGGUUAAUGAGGCUGCCUCUGGUCUGCUGGACGCACUGAGCAUUGCAUGGCUGCAGAAGAGGAAGAGCCUUUCUGAAGUGUGAGCCAAACAGUGUGGGAAGUUCUGAAAGGAUUCAGCCAUCCAAAUCCAUUUACACUGCAAACAGUGUCACAACCAUAAUGGCCACUGUGAUUAAAAAGAAACUGGCAUUGAUGAAGGCUGAGACUGAGCUUGACCCAGAUCUCCCCAACACCAGCAUCUCAAGUCAAAGGCUCUAUAUUUUGAUUCUUCUCA